CAGAGAGAGACAGACACUCAUAGACAGUCAGAGAGACAGACAGGCACUCAUAGACAGUCAGAGAGAGACAGGCACUCAUAGACAGUCAGAGAGAGACAGACACUCAUAGACAGUCAGAGAGACAGACACUCAUAGACAGUCAGAGAGACAGACAGGCACUCAUAGACAGUCAGAGAGACAGACACUCAUAGACAGUCAGAGAGAGACAGGCGCUCAGACAGUCAGAG